UUUUUUUUUUUUUUUUUUUUGUGGGGUUGGUGGAAGAAAUCAUCACGUAAUACGAGAUACGAUUGAAAAAAUAGUUGCGCCCAUAAACGGAGGAACAAAAGAAAUCUGCAGAGCUGCCUAUUGAUUUGGCUGGAAGCUGUGUAAUUUUGAUGUCAACUGGCGCAAUAUUAAUAUAAGGUGUGGAUUUACCACUUAUUCCUGAUAUUCAUGAGAAGAGCGGGUUUCAAUCUCACGAGAGUUUUCAAUUAUCCGGGAAAAUGAUUAUUAGAAAGAAAAACAAAAUGGGGAGAGGCGUGGUUGUGUGUAUCCACGCGACAGACAGUUUUAAGCGGUCGAAAAUGGAAAAGUCUGUUGGACUUGAAUAGGUGAUGUCGACGAAGUCCCAACAAGCUCCUGGACAGGAAGUAAUUUAGGCACUAAACAAACACUACUACUGGUUAGUUGUCUUUCCAACUCCUACUAAGUACUAACCAACCAACCGAAAGCAAACAAACGCAAAAGAGAGCCCCCAGUCUUCUUCUUUAUAUAUCUGUCUCUAUAUGACUACUUUUUCAGGCGGAGAAACUGUCGUGGCCGCCGGAGUGAUGUCCCACCUAGUCCUUAGCUGCGAAUCAUUUACCGUUGUCUUGCCAAUCAAUUUUCAUGGUAAUAUAUAUAUAUAUAUAUAUAUAUAUAUAUAUAGAGAGUAAAUUCAAAAUUUACCGAAAUCCACAUUUUACACAUUGGUAAACUGCAAAUAUAUAUAUAUAAUUAAAAAAAAAGAAAAGAAAGUGUAGCAUUUGUGUUAGCAAUCUUGUACGGCCAUUUAGUUAGUGUUGUAUUUAAAUACACAAGGGCAUCUUCCUUGUAAGAUACACUACUAUAAGCCAGACAAAUCUCCCAUCCAUAUCAUAUGUAAAACUGCAAAGAGGGAGGGAAUGAUUCAACGAGUCCAAGGCCAACAGCUAUGAGGUAUCCCAUUCCCAGCCCCCGCGACCGCGAGAAAGAUCAAAGAGAGAAGCCCCCCAGUUUUUACGUUCCCAUACUUAAAACAAAUCAAAGCAUCAUCCGUCGAAUAAUCAAAAGCAUACCAUCCAUGGCCAUGGAUUCUUGACCGUUGAAAAGUCCCACCCCAAUUAUUCUCCUACUCGUUUUUCUUUUUCUUUUUAUUUUUGGUUGAAAAAAAGUAGUGUUCUGCAUCAUUGACCACAAAUAGAAUAAGAUAAAAUUGAAAGAAAAGGCUUCACAGCAGACUAAUAGAAUAAGCGUUCUCGUUUUAAAAUAUAAUGUCAUAAUAAUACUCAUGCCUUUACCAGUAUAUUAGACUAUUAUCCAACUAAUAACUAAGUGAAAGCUGAGAAUUUGGUUACAUGUUGUCGUUAAAAGUGGGUCCAUGAAUUGAUACUUGUACUCUAUAAGUGGACGGUUUGUCUAAUACGGAUGCCCAUAAUAAGACACUUGGUAACAUAUAGUUGAGGUGUUAUAUUUUUAAAAAUAUAAGAUUAAUUAAAAAAAAAAUAUAAGUAUAAAAAAAAGUAGAUCGGAUUAAAUAAAAAAAUAUAUAAAUGUAAGAGAGAAUACUAAUUGUUAGUAUAUAUAUAUAUGAAAUAAGUUAUGUAAAUAUUAAAUGUGUUAACGAAUUUUCUAAAAGCACUUGAUAGAAAAAUCAUAAGCUGAUUGUUACAUGCCACUCACGAAAUUUUCAUAAUAACAAAUGACCGUAUGCAAUCAUAAUUACAAGCAAAUGCGGAAAAAAAAAAGGCUUUCUAUUUUGUGACAUCGGUGCCUGAAAUAAUAAAAAAAAAAGGGUGAGUUUAUUGCGAGGCAAAUUUUAAAAUCAUUGCUCGCUCUAAAAUUAGCGUCAUAAAACGCACUUUUUAUAAUAUUUGGAGCUCGGUGGGUACUACAGAAUACAAAGAAGGGAGGAAAAAGAGCAAAAAAAGAAAAAAAAAAAACAGAAAACAAAAGAAAAAGCAGCAAGAGUCCAAGGUAAGAGCUGAUCUCACAAAUCCUCCCUCAGACGCGGCUAAUUGAUCAGAAUAUAGACGUAAAAAAAAAAGGUCAGACAACUACGGUUCUGGCAUGGGGGUUGUAUAAAUCUAUGGGUGCCGGGCUGACACAGCCCGGCACCUGACACACCAAUUUUUUUUUUUAAAAGUUGUCAGGUGCCGGGCUGUGUCAGCCCGGCACCUGACACCACUUUAUUUUUUUUUUAAGUUGUCAUAGCCCGGCGCCCAUCAAAGCAUCCCAAACCAAAGAUAUCCAUUUUGUGUUUUGGUUGAGAAAGAGAGAGACCCGAAAAGUUGUGUUGCAUGAAGAUUAAUUUGAAUAGGGCACUAUAUAAUCUGAUAAAGGUCAACCAAAAUAAAAAAUUUGACAAAGAAAGUGUCAAAAUUGGCAUGGAAUUGAAUCUAGUAUGUACCCUUGCAGAGUUCAAUAUUAUUAUAGCAUAACUAAGGCCUUGUUUGGAUUGCGGUUUUUCGUCGGAAAAUUACGUCGUUUUCCGUGAUCACAUUUCCCUAUUACCUUUUUUCCUCACAUACAUCAAAUCGCUACAAUAAUUUUUCCAUGAAAAAUCAUGAAAAAUGCAAUCCAAACACAACCUAAGUAUUGACGGAUUCCAACUCAAGUUGCAUAUGUUGCUGCUGAUUCAGGAAACGGGGUAGCCGGAAAUUAUACACAGGAAAAAAAAGAGGCAAAUAGGAAAAGUAAACAAAAUUACUAGCUGGGCUUAUUUUAGUUUAGAUCAAUGAGAAUGGUGCUUGUAACUUUUGCUAUAAGUAUGAGUCAAAAUUUGAAUCGGUAUAGAAAAAUAAAAAUAAAAAACACAUUUGACAUUCAACUUUUACAAACACGCAAAAGGUGAAAAAAAAAAAAUUUUUGGGUCAAGGCAUCUUGACAAAAAUUUUUAUAAUAUUUUGGAUUGAGCAUUAUUUCUUCAAUUUUAUUUGUUUACAACAUCAUUACAAUUUUCAAUACACCUUUUUAUCUUCCCAAUUACCUUUUUAUCUCAUAUACAUCACAUCACAAAAAGUGUUACAGUAAAAAUAUCCCAAAUAACUUACAAUCCAAGCAAAUCCAGGCGUCGUAAUUAAAUUUCUUAAAAUAUAUAUCAUUUUUCACGGUAGCUCCUAACAAUUUUUUUGUCUCGCUUUAUCUUGCAUUGGACACAAUUAUACCUAUACUAUUAUUAACUCUUCUUUCUCUGGCAUUUUUUUGUUCCUUUUUUGUGGUAUUAUAUUUUCUUUGUCACUUUAUUGUUUCUUUAAAUUUUCUUCUUUUUUCACAAAAAUUGAUAUCUUAAUGAUUGAAAUUGAAAAAGAGAAACUGUAGAAUUCUAUCUUUUCCUUAAAUGAUUAAAAAAUAUUCAAAUCACUUGACUUGAAAUACAAUUAUCUAGUAUCCAUAUUCUUUUAAUUUUGAAUUUUCCUCUUUCAUUUAUAGUUUCUCAUUUUAUUCUCAAGAAAAUAUCGUAAGGCUGAAAUUGUGAUAUGAUUAGUAAUUAUCAAUUCCAAUUUGUGACAUGUUGCAUCAUGCAAAAGAUCAAACCCCAAACCCUAAACACUAAACCCUAAACCCUAAACCCUAAAACCCUAAACAUUAAACCCUAAACAGUAAACUAAUUCAUUUAAAUUCAUUUAAUCGAAAUUCAUUUAAACUAAUUAAACUAAUAACAUAUACUAAAUAACAUAAACUAACCUCGCCAAAUACAUCUAAAUUCAUUUAAUCGAACCUCUUAAAUUUAACUAAUUCCACAAUUAAUUCAACUAAUUAAUCGACUAAACUAAUUCAAAUAAUUGUUUACUAAAUAACAUAAACUAAUUAUCAACUAAUUUGCAUAAUAAAGUAAAUUGUAUUAAACUAAUAACACUAAUAUCUAUACUUAAGUUAUGCUAAAUACAUCAAUUUUAGUUAAACUAAUUUAAUUAAUCCAUUAAACAAAUUUAAACAACUGGAUACUAAGGUGAGAUUCCACCAACUAAGAAGCACCACUUAUUAGUCGACAUCUCAUAAAUACAAAAACUCUGCGGCUUCUUAACAAUUGAAUCAGAAGACAGAAAAUUGAAUUAGCUUUAAAAAGCUGUCAGGUGCCGGGCUGUGUCAGCCCGGCACCUGACAACUUUAAAAAAAAAAAUUGGUGUGUCAGGUGCCGGGCUGACAUAGAUUUAUACAGAUCCAAUGUCAGAACCGUAGUUGUCUGACCUUUUUUUUUUUCGUCUAUAUUCUGAUCAAUUAGCCCUCAGACGCGGACAUAUAUGCGUUCGUUCAUUUCUUCUCUGUUUCUCACGCAAUAUAUAUAUAUAUAUAUACACACUACAAGUAUAUUCUACUAGUAUUAUGAUUUGACCAAUUAAACGGGGGAAGGGCGCCGGCAAUAGCCGUCUCCUGGAGCUGAAAUUCAAACCAAGCAAACACGCCAUUUAAAGAUGGCCCUAAUUUCUUCCAUCCCCAUAUAUGAAUCUGAUACGUUCUUCUUCCUCUCAUUCCUUCCUCCUCCAAAAUCUCCAACUCCGGAACCCUCUCUCCCUCAUUUGUACUGCUACUAUACUACUAGCUUCAUAAUUAGCACUGCUAGUAUUCCUUUAUAAUACUAUACUGCUACUGCUAUUAGUGGUUUAUUAUCCUGUUCUCAUCAUCAUCAAAUCAUCUUCCGGAUGAUGAUGCCUUUUCCCUGUCGCUCCCGCACCAUCAUUUCUCCAUCGUUUGGCAGAUGAGGAGUUUGCCCUCUUCCUCCGUCGCUCUCACCCUUCUUUACUUUCUCCAUUUUAGCUCGUCUUUAAUUUCCCGGCAAUAACAACCCAACCCCCCCUUUUUUUUUCCUCUUCUUUUUCUUCUUCUCCUUCGUAAUUAUCGUUAGGCACAAAUCAUACGCGUCAUCAACCAUGUUUUUUCUAAAUCCAAUUUUAUUCUUGUUGAUAAUCGUAGUCCCCUUUUUAAUCUUUAGAUUCUUGUCCAGAACAUCCAUUCUGCAUAUCGCGAACAAUUGGUGGCGGACUUUAGCUGACAAAUUUUACGUGUACCAGUUGUACAGAGUUCCCCAAUUCAACGACCACAUGCAGGAAAAUCAACUCUACCGAAAAGUUCACACCUACCUCAGUUCUCUCCCGGCCGUCGAGGACUCCGACUUCACCAACCUCUUCUCCGGUGCCAAACCCAACGAGAUCAACCUCGUCCUCGACCCCAACCAGAUCGUCCUCGACAAUUUCCUCGGCGCUCGAUUGUUCUGGAUUAACCAGAAAUGCGACGGGUCUGGGUUGAAAUCGCUGGUUCUCAAGAUCAGGAAGUCCGACAAGCGCAGAAUUCUGCGCCCCUACCUCCAGCAUAUCCAUACGGUCUUCGAGGAACUCGAACAGCGAAAGGAUGUCAAACUUUACAUCAACGUCGAGGACGAGCCGCAGAGAAACGGACGGUGGAGGUCGGUUCCCUUCACGCAUCCGGCGACGAUUGACUCGGUCGUGAUGGACUCGGACUUGAAGAACAAAGUCAAGUCGGAUUUAGAAUCCUUCCUCAAGUCCAAACAGUAUUAUAACCGAUUAGGCCGGGUUUGGAAGCGGAGUUAUCUCCUCUACGGGCCCUCCGGUACCGGGAAGUCCACAUUCAUCGCUGCGAUGGCCAAGUUCCUCUCCUACGACGUCUACGACGUCGACCUGUCCAAAAUAUCGGGCGACUCUGAUUUGAGGUCGCUGCUGCUGCAAACGACGAGCAAGUCGCUAAUCGUGAUGGAAGAUCUGGAGCGCCAUCUGACGGGGAAAUCAACGGCGGUGAGCUUGUCCGGGAUCCUCAACUUCAUGGACGGCAUAGUCUCGUGCUGCGGCGAGGAGCGCGUGAUGGUAUUCACAAUGAACGGCAAGGAUCACGUUGAUCCCGCGAUUCUGAGGCCCGGGAGGAUAGAUGUUCACCUGGAGUUCCCUCUCUGCGAUUUCAACGCCUUCAAAAGUUUGGCCAACAGCCAUUUGGGUGUGAAGGAGCACAAGCUUUUCCCUCAGGUGGAAGAGAUGUUCCAAAGCGGGGCGAGUUUGAGUCCGGCCGAAAUUGGCGAGCUUAUGAUUGCCAACCGGGCCUCUCCCAGCCGGGCCUUGAAAUCCGUAAUAUCCGCGCUGCAGAAUAACGCGGACACCAAGUUAGCUGGCAGGGUGUCGCGCAACGGGUCGGUUCGGUCAGCGGAGGAAUCCGGCGACUCGGGAAUAUUGUGUAAAGACGCCGGUGUUUCCACCGUCAAGGAGUUUCGGAAAUUAUAUGGAUUCUUGAGGAGGAGUCGAAGGGAAUCCGCAGAUUUGGAUGACAAGGAAAGGGAAAUUGGUCGACAAGAAAGUUGAGUCGUGCCCACCCGUCCACCAAUCAAACUACACCAAAUCAGAAAACCCCGUUUAAAGUUUCAGAAGAGUAGUCUGUCUUUCUCUCGCUGUUGUGCUCAAUAGUCCAGUAAAGAUAUUUUUGGCUUUUUCUCUCCCCUUUUCCUAUCUUCCUUCCAUAGUAUAGUUAGCAUUUGGGGGAAAAAAUACUACUGCUGUAGUAUAUUUAAUUAGCACAGCGUUAAUGUUUAGCGGGAAAACUUCCACAGGAUACUACAGUAACGAUUGUUGUAGCAGUACAGAUAGAUCCAUUUUUAAGUAGCAUAGCAUUACAUUAAUUAUUAUUUGUUUGCUGGGAUCUUCUUCCCAAGAACAACAUAGCAGAAAAUUUUCCUUUCGUCCAUGUCAGGUGUCUAACGAUCUAAUGAUGUACUAGCAGUUACCCAAACAAAGUGCGGGGGCGGUCCUAGUCAGAAAAUAAAUGUUAGCGACAAAAGGAGGUUUUGGUUUCAACGCCUUUAGAAGAAGGAAGGAGGGGGCUGGCAAUGGCCUGUUGAAAUUGGGAUGCCCUCUGAAAAUGGUCAUUGACUUUGGACGUCCGUUGGUUGCAUUUUAUGUCUGAUUUUGACUUUUUUGCAAAAUGGCGCCGAGAUUGCCUACCGUUUUCAUAUCAUAUCAAUUAAUCAAUCAAUAAAGGCAUAAAAAAGGAUGACUUUUUUUUUUUUGGGGGCUACCUAGUAGAUAACACGACGCCUCACAAGAUUCAAAGGUUACCCUUAUUAUUCCUUUCUACUGGAUUGGUUUGGUUUGGUUUGGUUACGCUAUAUCUCCAAAGCGAGUGGUGGGUUCGUGAAUAAUACAUGACGCAGCGUAUAUGUGCUGUCGAAAGAAGAUGGAUAUGUCCAUUCCAUAUGUGAUAUCGAAUCAUAUCACUACUGCUUCGAUAGGGUUUGGAUGUGGAAUGUUGCUAAAUUGGUCUAGAAAAUGAAAAUUUAGUAGUAGAAGUAGUAGUAUCAAAGCUAAUCCAUUCGCAUAUGACGACAUGGAAUUCAUUUCGCAGCGUUGAGAAUGAGAAUGGCAUUCAAAUUGGGAAUCAGGCGAUCGUCAUAGCUGAAUGUGAAUGUUCUCCGUGUAUGGACUAAGUAUAGUAUAUCCUUCUUUCUUUCUUUCUUAUGAUGGAGAGAUGACGAUAAUACGCGGAUUUACAAUUGGUCUCCAACAACUCUCCUUAGUAUACUAUCCAGGUCCAUAUAUUCUUCUCUUAAUCUAGUAGCCAUGCCAUGCCCCCUUUGGAUAAUUGCUCUACUGUUUUGCAAAAUCUUUUUGUGGCCAUUUUCACAAAAUUAGUUCUGACUUGACAUAAAAAGAGGUGCUUGAUUUAAUUCUCUGCAAAUAUAUUUUGUGAUCUAAUGGCAGGUAUAAUGAACACUAAUGCAAAAUUUUACUCGUGUCACAAAGUACGAAAGUCCGCAUGAGAUCAUUGCAGGAAUGAACGCAUGCAUAUUCAGGAAAUUUUCAUCUACGAGGAUUGGAUUGUCGUCUAAUCAGUUACUUUCGCUAAUCUUAAAAUUUGGUGGUACUAGUGUACAGAGUGAAUCGAUCAAUUUGGAUUGUCAUCUAAUCGGGGACGGUGAGGUCGUUCCUCUGCCGCUACAGCUCCGUCGUCAUCGCAAACUCUCUUGGUAAUUUUAGGGCUUACACCUGCGCUGCCUCCUCCUCCUUCUUUUCACAUAGCGCCAAACGAGUGGGUACUCAACAGUGGCAGCUUUCAUUGCGACGAAGCUCUCGGCUGCUUUAUGAUUCGCCUCUCCAACAGCUUCUCCAAUGCCCAAAUCAUCCGUACCCGCGAUUCCCAGGCACUUUUGAAAAUAAUUUUGUUAUGACUGCCCGGACCUUUUUCCCCCCCUUUUCUUGCUGUUAAAGUGACUAAUUAGGAAAAAACAACCUAUUCAUUCGAGGUUCUGGAAGGGCUUGUUGCUGUACUUGAUGUUGGAGGAUUCUAUGACCCCAAGCAUUAUAGACCGUUACGACCGUCACCAGGAAGGUUUUAACGAGGUUUUGGCUAUGGACACUCCACUGAACUUAGCAGUGCCGGCCUCGUCUGCAAGGUAGCUUUUACUUGCCCAUAAAUCUCUCGGUGCUCUGUAUUUUUUUUUUUCCAUAGCCCUGGAUCCGGUGCCUGUUUUUUAGUAGUAGCAGCAGUAGCGGGUUUAGUCUAGCAGCAGAGUUGUUGGCGCGUGAAAUUUACAGUUAUUCAGAUUACUUUGUUAGAUAAAUAAGUUUAUCAAUCUGCGGUUAUCCUUUUCUGUUCCUGAUUUUUCACUUCCAGCAUUAUGGGAAGGAGAUAGUUGCCAAGGAGGUUCAGCUAGAUGAGGGACAUCCAGAUGUACACCUGUUAUUUUUGACAGUUUAUAACUUCAUGGAGGUAACAAUCCAACCGUGUAUUGUAAGCCUUGUCCUGAAUGGUUCAUGGACUUAGUACUGUUUUACCGGUCCAAUAAUAUUUUUGACUGAGCAAAUGAAACCUUUGAAUCCUAUCUUCUUUCUGGUUUUCCCUGUCCUUUUCCCAAGGAGUUGCUUCUUUAGUUUUAUUAUUGCUAUAGAUUAGACAAGGGAAGCUAGCUGAUUGACUGGAAUGGCAGUAUAGAAAGGUAUUGCUCUUGCUUCUUGACAUGGCCCGUGUAUGUUCUGUCAUUAGUCAGAUGCUUAUCAACUUGCACCAAAUUUUUUGCUUUAAUUGGCUGUAGAUGCUACUGACAAUGGAAUAAAUCAAUGCAAUACAGGCCAGCCUCCUAGGUUUGUGAACAACACAAGCUUGUGCUCCAGAGUUGGAAGAUUGAAUCUAGAUUGGACUCAUUUUGAUCAAUCACCCGAGCAUGAAAAUAAUGCCUUUCAACAAGCAAUGGAGCUAGCGGGGAAGGAAUUUUUGGAGGAGACUUCCCCUUGAACUCUCACUAUUCUGAGUUGGGUUUGUCUUCCACUCGACAAUAUUUUUGAAGUUAGUACUAGGCUGAUUGGAAACUUUUGUUUUCCUAUCAUCCUGCACAACUUCAGACGUUCAACUCAUAGCUUAAGCAUGACAAGAUUGUUAAAGGAACAAAUUUUUUUUUUUAAACUUUUCAUAUCGGAGUGCUCAUUUCUAUGCAAAAUCAUGGUUGCAAGUUCGAUCCGUAGUUAUGGAAUGUCUAGCAGAAAGAGAGAGCUGUAGAUCCAACUGGGGAAGUCAUUGUGCAAAAUAGAUCUUUUCCUGUAAGUGGAAACUGGUUGUCUCAAUCAUGUCCUUUUUUUUUUUUUUUUGUCAGCAACGAUAUAUUUUUUUGUCUCAAUCAUGUCCUUGAUGACCUUAUUUAGCUUUUUGAUUCUGUCAUCCUUCACCUCUUUCAAUUGUUUGCCUAUUGGUCUGUGAUCAUUCCUUUCCUUCUUUAACAAUCAAUAAACCCAAUGGUCAUGACAACCCAUAAUGACAGUUAUUAGCAUUUCAGCAGUGGAAGCUUCACAUUUUUGACCUGGAGAGGGAACAUUGAUACUUCGAUUAUGUAUGUUAUUUAUCAGGUACCAUCAUGUUCAUCACCCUACAUUAUUCUUUUUGAAAAGCAUGUUAAUAGGUUUAUUCUCUUGCAGUCCACUCAAAGAAGGAAAACAAUAUUCUUUUAUAUCAGCAUGUGCAUAGAAGGAAAACAAGUUCAAUGUCGUCUAUUAAUGAGAGAUAUUCUCUUGAUAAAUAUUCUUGCAUUACUUGCUUUUCUUGCCUCAAAGAAGCAAUAGGAAUAGCGACCUCAUCAAGGUCAAGUAAUUUAUGCUUGGCUAAGUGCAAUGUUUUCAUUUUGUUAGGUCAAAAUGUGUGCAACAGAUAGCUGGUGAAUCAUCUUUUCUUGGAAAAGAAUAUCAUUAGUUGCAAAAAAUUUCACGGUUUUAUUGUUCUGUAGGAUGAUAGGAGUGAGAACUGGCAUAUUCAGGAAGUGGCAGUCUCACCUGAAAAUUUUGAAAGCCGGAAACCCCGACCAUCUCUCUGGAGGGGUCUCAAUGAUGGAGAGCUUUGCGAAGCUACUCAUAUCCCUGGUUGUACUUCUGUGCAUGAGUGGAUUCAUUGGAGGAAAUGAAACUUAUGAAUGUGUUCUUGCUAUGGCAAGGGCUUCUUUGAUGGCUUAAGCAACAAACAAGGUAAUGAAGAACUUUCUUUGAAUAAGAUGCAUGUGCAGUUCGAAUAUGCUGACUCAAGUACCAUUGUUUUAUCAUCCUCAAAUCCUUAAUUUCUUGAAACUCAUUUCUGUACAACUAUCAUCGCAGGUAAAGAAACACACAUUAUUAGAUACUAUUAUGUUAAGGUUAAAAUUGAGUCCAUUGGGAACAAAAUUUGUGGCUCAACCUGAAUCUUCAGAAGCUGCAGGCAAUCCUUCUUUAAACCAGGUAUUUAGUCCUCCUUCCAAGUGGUAGACAUUGCUGUAACCAUUGAGAACUAGCAAGUAAGCUGCUAUCAGUGACCUACAUAAAGUAACAAAAGCAG
rnacentral:lncRNA from 1 species